UCACAUUUUCUUAAGAAUGAACCACUUUUGAAAAUAUGAGGCUGUGAAAAUCAUGCUAAAUUAUUAAGUUAACAAAACCUUUUUCUUAAAAAAAAAAAAAAAAAGCAUAGAAGUUGUAUGACCAUAGCCCAAGAAUGAUGAAACAGAGAGUGGGUUAAGAUCACACUGCUGCAGGUGAGUCGUGGACUGCCCCGACCUCCGCGAUGGCCUCUCUGCUCUCCAAGGACGCCUACCUGCAGAGCCUGGCCAGGAAGAUCUGCGCCCAGUCAGGCCCGCAGCCGCGGGCGCGCACGCGGGCUGGCAAAACUCAAGGCUCAGAAACUGCAGGACCCCCAAAAAAGAAAAGGAAGAAAGCGCAAAAGAAAUUCCGGGAGCGAGAAGAGGUUGCUGAGCACAAGGCCAAGUCCUUGGGGGAGAAGUCUCCAGCAGCCUCUGGGGCCAGGAAGCCUGAGGCAGACCAAGGGGAAGCAGCUUCAGCUUCCAGCUCAGCAGAGACCCCUGCAGGUGUCCUGGCCACAGAGCCUGAGUCUCUGUUUGCCCUGGAUGUUCAGCGGCAGCGAAUGCAUGAGGAGAUCCAAGAGGCCCGGGGCCAGGGCAGUGCCAAGGAGCUGUCCCCUGCUGCCCUGGAGAAAAGGCAGCGGAGAAAGCAGUAACGGGACCGGAAGAAGAGGAAGCGAAAGGAGCUGCGGGAGAAAGAGAAGGCCAGGAAGGCUGAGAAGGCCGCGGAGGCCCAGGAGCCAGUGGAGCCAAUCCCAGAGGGGGCCGGCAGGGAGCCUCGGGAGCCGCCGGGGCUGAUCUUCAAUAAGGUGGAGGUGAGUGAAGACCAGCCGGCCAGCAAGGCGCAGCGCAGGAAGGAGAAGAGGCAGAGGGUGAAGGGGAACCUCGCGCCGCUGACCGGGAGGAACUACCGGCAGCUGCUGGAGCGCCUGCAGGCGCCGCACAGCCGGCUGGACGAGCUGCGCGGCCAGGAUGAGGGGAAGACGCAGGAGCUGGAGGCCAAGAUGAAGUGGACCAGCCUCCUGUACAAGGCGGAGGGCGUGAAGAUCCGUGACGACGAGCGCCUGCUGCAGGAGGCUCUGACGCGCAAGGAGAAGCGCAGGGCCCAGCGGCAGCGCAGCUGGGAGAAGCGCACGGCCAGCCAGCGUGGUGGAGAAGAUGCAGCAGCGCCAGAACCGGCGGCGGUAGAACCUGCGCAGGAAGAAGGCGGCCCACGCCGAGCGCCGCCUGCUCAAGGCCCGCAGGGAGGGCUGCAUCCUGCCACAGGACCUGGAGCGCGCGGGCCUGACCUGAGCCUUUCCCGCCUGGGAGGUUCCCGGGGACCCUCUGAGUCCUUCAUGGUGGCUCAUCCCAGGAUCUCCGCGGACCUCGGCCCCUCCAUGUGAAGGGGACAGAGUCGUGCUCUGCUGAGUUGUGAGGGCUCAGGUCACCCGUGUGAAAGAGGAUCUUUCAGCGUCAUCCUUGAAAAUGGGACCCAGGGCCUUCAGACCCAGGGAAACGGUGAGUCAGACUGGGGCCCGGUCUUUCACGGGCCUGAAAGCUUCCCCGAAGUUUGCAGGGUCAGGGAGGAGGGAUGGUGGGGGUGGGCAGUCACUGCCUCUUCUCCCCUGCCUGUGUUCGCAGGAGCCACAGCACGGAAGAGAGUGGCCUGUAUUGCCAGGCCACCUUAGCUCACAAGCUCACAAGAACGACCCUGAGGUGUAGCGUAUGGGCACCUGGCACUCGGGAGUGGCAGGAGCAUGUCCAGGCAUGGGGCAUCCUGGGGCAGAACGCCAUGGCUCCUCCCCCUUCUCAUGGCUUCUGCCUGUGGGGGUCUCAUUCCUUUCUCUUCUUCACUGCUCAGAAUUUAGAGGGAGGAAGGGAGCUGUACCUUCCCAGAGUCCAUGCAUGUGAGUUGGGCCAUGUGCAUUGGCCCAAAGGAAAAGAGAAAGAAUAAAACUAGAGAGUGUGAGGCAAAUGGAAGCUGGAAAGUGGGAUGGAAGAAUUAAAUCCAAAGCCUCAGGCAGUCAGAUGAAUGCAGGUUGAAUCAACUCUGGCGAAUUUUAGUGGUAUACGGAUGAU